rnacentral:rRNA from 1 species
UACGAAGGGGGCUAGCGUUGCUCGGAAUCACUGGGCGUAAAGGGUGCGUAGGCGGGUUUUUAAGUCAGGGGUGAAAUCCUGGAGCUCAACUCCAGAACUGCCUUUGAUACUGAAGAUCUUGAGUUCGGGGGAGGUGAGUGGAACUGCGAGUGUAGAGGUGAAAUUCGUAGAUAUUCGCAAGAACACCAGUGGCGAAGGCGGCUCACUGGCCCGAUACUGACGCUGAGGCACGAAAGCGUGGGGAGCAAACAGG